GACGAACGCUGGCGGCGUGCCUAAUACAUGCAAGUCGAGCGAAUUGAUGAGAAGCUUGCUUCUCUGAAGUUAGCGGCGGACGGGUGAGUAACACGUGGGCAACCUGCCCUAUAGUUGGGGAUAACUCCGGGAAACCGGGGCUAAUACCGAAUAAUACAUUUCAUCUCCUGGUGGAAUGUUGAAAGAUGGUUUACGCUAUCGCUAUAGGAUGGGCCCGCGGCGCAUUAGCUAGUUGGUGAGGUAACGGCUCACCAAGGCAACGAUGCGUAGCCGACCUGAGAGGGUGAUCGGCCACACUGGGACUGAGACACGGCCCAGACUCCUACGGGAGGCAGCAGUAGGGAAUCUUCCACAAUGGGCGAAAGCCUGAUGGAGCAACGCCGCGUGAGUGAAGAAGGUUUUCGGAUCGUAAAACUCUGUUGUAAGGGAAGAACAAGUACAGUAGUAACUGGCUGUACCUUGACGGUACCUUAUUAGAAAGCCACGGCUAACUACGUGCCAGCCGCCGCCGUAACAC
rnacentral:rRNA from 1 species